rnacentral:rRNA from 1 species
ACGGAAGUUAUUCGGGUAGUAACAGAGAGUUCGAUCCUGGCUCGACGAACGCUAUGGAUGCUUUACACAUGCAAGUCGAACGGCAGCACGGACUUCUGUGUUCAGGCAGUGGCGAACGGGUGAGUAAUGUAUCGGAACGUGCCUAGUAGCGGGGGAUAACUACGCGAAAGCGUAGCUAAUACCGCAUACGCCCUUCGGGAAAGCGGGGACCUUUCGGGCCUCGCACUAUUAGGAGCGGCCGAUAUCGGAUUAGCUAGUUGGUGGGGUAACGGCUCACCAAGGCGACGAUCCGUAGCCAUUUAGAGACGACCGCCACACUGGGACUGGAGACACGCCCAGACUCCUACGGAGGCAGCAGUGGGAAUUUUGACAAUGGGGGAACCCUUAUCCCAGCCAUCCGCGUGUGCGAUGAAGGCCUUCGGGUUGUAAAAGCACUUUUGGCAGUGAAAGAAACGGCAAUGGGAUAACACCCCGUGCAACUGACGGUACCGCAGAGAAUAAGACCUGGUUAAUCAUGCGCCAGCAGCCAUGGUAAUACGUAGGGUGCAAGCGUUAAUCGGAAUUACUGGGCGUAAAGCGUGCGCAGGCAGGUUCUGGAAAAAGAGAUGAAAUCCCAGAGCUUAACUUUGGAACUGCAUUUUUAACUACCGAGCUAGAGUGUGUCAGAGGGAGGUGAAUUUGUAGCAGUGAAAUGCGUAGAUAUGCGGAGGAACACCGAUGGCGAAGGCAGCCUCCCGGGAUAACACUGACGCUCAUGCACGAAAGCGUGGGGAGCAAACAGGAUUAGAUACCCUGGUAGUCCACGCCCUAAACGAUGUCAACUGUUGGGGCCUUCGGGCCUUGGUAGCGCAGCUAACGUUGCGAAGUUGACCGCCCGGGGAGUACGGUCGCAAGAUUAAAACUCAAAGGAAUUGACGGGGACCUACCACAGGUGGAUGAGGCUGUAGAUUAAUCAUUGAUGCAACCAGCAAACUUUACUCACCUUGACAUGUCUGGAAUCCCGAAGAGAUUUGGGAGUGCUCGGUAAGAGAACCGGAACACAGAAAGCGAUGGCCAUGGUUAGCCUCAAAGCGUGAGGAUGCCGGGGUUAAGUCCCACCAGAGCGGGCAACCCUUGUCAUUAUUAAGUGCUACGAAAGGGCACUCUAAUGAGACUGCCGGUGACAAACCGGGAGGAAGGUGGGGAUGACGUCAAGUCCUCAUGGCCCUUAUGGGUAGGGCUUCACACGUCAUACAAUGGUCGGGACAGAGGGUCGCCAACCCGCGAGGGGGGAGCCAAUCCCAGAAACCCGAUCGAAGCCCUGGAUUGGGUCGUAACCUGAUCACAGUGAAGUCGGAAUCGCUAGUAAUCGCGGAUCAGCAUGUCGCGGUGAAUACGUUCCCGGGUCUUGUACACACCGCCCGUCACACCAUGGGAGUGGGUUUUACCAGAAGUAGUUAGCCUAACCGUAAGGAGGGGCGAUUACCACGGUAGGAUUCAUGACUGGGGUGAAGUCGUAACAAGGUAG